AUGUACCCCGUACAGUCCGGUUCUUCCGCGCCGUCCGCACCCACCUGACGGCUGCUCGCUAUGUUUCGUUAGCC
rnacentral:sRNA from 1 species